rnacentral:sRNA from 1 species
GAUUUGCGUUAGCGAUAGGAGUGGCAUCCUUUUUUGAAGAGUAACGUAAAAAAAGAUAAAACGGAUAGCGCGACCUGAA